rnacentral:rRNA from 1 species
AUUGAACGCUGGCGGCAGGCCUAACACAUGCAAGUCGAACGGUAACAGGAAACAGCUUGCUGUUUCGCUGACGAGUGGCGGACGGGUGAGUAAUGUCUGGGAAACUGCCUGAUGGAGGGGGAUAACUACUGGAAACGGUAGCUAAUACCGCAUAACGUCGCAAGACCAAAGAGGGGGACCUUCGGGCCUCUUGCCAUCGGAUGUGCCCAGAUGGGAUUCGCUAGUAGGUGGGGUAACGGCUCACCUAGGCGACGAUCCCUAGCUGGUCUGAGAGGAGGAACAGCCACGCUGGAACUGAGACACGGUCCAGACUCCGACGGGAGGCGGCAGUGGGGAAUAUUGCACAAUGGGCGCAAGCCUGAUGCAGCCAUGCCGCGUGUAUGAAGAAGGCCUUCGGGUUGUAAAGUACUUUCAGCGGGGAGGAAGGGAGUAAAGUCAAUACCUUUGCUCAUUGACGUUACCCGCAGAAGAAGCACCGGCUAACUCCGUGCCAGCAGCCGCAGUAA